UCUCCGUUGGUGAACCAGCGGAGGGAUCAUUAUCGAGUUUAUAACUCCCAAACCCUAUGUGAACUUACCACUUGUUGCUUCGGCGCGCGCUUCGGUGCCGCCGAGGACACUUAAACUCUUUGUUUUUAUAAGCAUUUCUGAGUGGCCGAAAGGCAAAAUACAAAUGAAUCAAAACUUACAACAACGGAUCUCUUGGUUCUG
rnacentral:misc_RNA from 1 species